AGCUUGGUCGUAUAGCGGUUAGUACACUUGCUUCACACGCAAGAGAUCCGGGUUCGAUUCCCGGCCGAGCUA
rfam:Drechmeria coniospora strain ARSEF 6962 chromosome 01, whole genome shotgun sequence.